UGGGGAAUAUUGCACAAUGGGCGCAAGCCUGAUGCAGCCAUGCCGCGUGUGUGAAGAAGGCCUUCGGGUUGUAAAGCACUUUCAGCGGGGAGGAAGGCGUUAAGGUUAAUAACCUUGGCGAUUGACGUUACCCGCAGAAGAAGCACCGGCUAACUCCGUGCCAGCAGCCGCGGUAAUACGGAGGGUGCAAGCGUUAAUCGGAAUUACUGGGCGUAAAGCGCACGCAGGCGGUCUGUCAAGUCGGAUGUGAAAUCCCCGGGCUCAACCUGGGAACUCCAUUCGAAACUGGCAGGCUAGAGUCUUGUAGAGGGGGGUAGGAUUCCAGGUGUAGCGGUGAAAAGCGUAGAGAUCUGGAGGAAUACCGGUGGCGAAGGCGGCCCCCUGGACAAAGACUGACGCUCAGGUGCGAAAGCGUGGGGAGCAAACAGG
rnacentral:rRNA from 1 species